ensembl:lncRNA
CGCAAGAAGCUAGCAGCAGUGCUAAGGAGAUUACAGAAACAACAGUGAUACUGUACUGAAAGAGAUGAGUAAAAGAAAGAGGAUGGAGAGAAACCCUAACUCUUGUGAGAACUUUUUCUGCCUGGACAUUUGGAAAGAGCAGAAAUAAACAUCAGAUAAGCGACCACUAGCGAGUACAACCAAUUGUCAAGCACAUGGACUGGAUAAAAUGCCAUAUAAAGAGCUAGGAAUCAGUUUAUACCGGUACGUAUUUAUGAAGACUAUGCUGACUUACUGAAAGGCUGGAAGAAAGCAAAAUAGCAUUGGACCCACUCGGAAAAAAAAGACGACCCAGCAACAACAUGGAUGCUAUUUUUUUUUUUCCCUAAAUAAUGAAGUCAUAACAGUACUAACAGUAUAUACUACACUGAUGACUGCACAGAACUAAGUGAAGCCAUCGACAGUAUUGAUUGGAUAUACCUCACUGUCCCAGACAAACACCAUAGGGUUUUUUGGUUGUUGUUGUUUGUAAAACAAAAAUAAUUGCAAAAUCAAGAGAUAAAGAGGAUUCAAGUGAGAUGUAAUCUAGCUAGGUGUUACAGAGGUGUUUCCCAAUGCGACUUCUUGCAAAAACUUAACCUGAAGGAAAAAAAAAUUAAAAGCACCAGUGUGCACCAGCUUUGAAUGAACCAGAAAUAAAGGAAAGUAAAGAAAGACUCACUGUUCCCAGCACCUGUCAGGAUCUCCAGUGCCCUGGGUUUUUCCUCCAGGUUCGCUGAGAGGCUGAGCUUGAACACCUUCUACAUUAGUUUCUGCUUUACCUUUGCAUUUGAGACCACCUCUUCAUACAUUUGGACAACAAACUGGGAUCUGGAAGUAUGACAUUCAUAUGAAAUAAUUAAUGAUACUACUUACACCAAAGGUAUUACAACAGCAUGUGGGUGUUUAAAAUGAAGUAUGGUAUGUGGCUGCUAUCAGAAGGAAGUCUCAAUCAUCUGUGCUCCUCAGCAUUGGCUGAAACAUGAGCAAGUUUGAAAUCACAGCAUGCAGAACAAGGUCUUACUAUGGGACAAAUCAUUUUUGUGCAGUCUAUGCAGCAUAUGGAGCAGAUACUGCUUAUUAUGGCCAAGUAGCUUUUAGUCUUUACAAAGCACUGAACUGAUUUGCCAAAUGCUCAUUUAUUUAAUUAAUGAUCCAUUUCUCACUGAUUAUGAUGCUUUGACAUUUAUAGAUUGUAUAGCAUUUAUGGCACGCUACUGCAAUCAGAGACAGAUUACAUUACAUGAUACAGACAUUGACUCUUUUUGGUUGUAGUAACUGCCUCCAGGAAGGUUUCAAGCUGAAUGUAAGCAGUUACAAGCAGAGAUGUGCUGUUACAGGAAUAUUUUCUAGCACUCACCUUACUCUUGAAUAAUUCUACCGGGAAGCACAUUCUUUGGAUUUCUAUAGAGCCAGCCAAAAUGCUGCGACUGCAGUCUCAGCCAAUUCAUUUAAAGCUACAUACAGCUGGAUAAGCAAAGCUCAAGGCACACCCCUGGGACAAGCCAUACUACAGCAGGUGUUGAUCUGAGAAGUUAAGGAAGGAGCAGGCUGUGUGCCAAAGGAGAGACAACACUCAGGGGCUCUUAGUGGCCUUAAGAACAGGAAGGUCCCACAGUACAGCGGUGAAUCUUGGCUAUGCACUAUACUGUGGAUGAAAUCGCUGCCUCACACUUGAAAGGAACUGCAGGCAGCAAGAAGAGAGACUGAAGCACUGUCCUGGAUUGUACAUAAGUGGGGCUGCAGAAGGCCUGCUGAAAGUCAGUUAAAGAACUUCUCAGAUUUGUAUCAACUGUGGCAAGUCAUUUUAGGAAGCAAACAAAACAAAACAAACUUAACUGGAGAGCACCAAGACUGGAAUUAAAAUAACGCAAAUUCCACUCAGCUGUAUCUGCCUUCUUGCUUGUUUGCUUUCAGGGUCUU